rnacentral:rRNA from 1 species
GAUGAACGCUGGCGGCGUGCCUAAUACAUGCAAGUCGAGCGAACAGACGAGGAGCUUGCUCCUCUGACGUUAGCGGCGGACGGGUGAGUAACACGUGGAUAACCUACAUAUAAGACUGGGAUAACUUCGGGAAACCGCAGCUAAUACCGGAUAAUAUAUUGAACCGCAUGGUUAACUAUUGAAAGACGGUUUUGCUGUCACUUAUAGAUGUAUCCGCGCCGCAUUAGCUAGUUGGUAAGGUAACGGCUCACUGAGGCAAAGAUGCGUAGCCGACCUGAGAGGGUGAUCGGCCACACUGGAACUGAGACACGGCCCAGACUCCUACGGGAGGCAGCAGUAGGGAAUCUUCCGCAAUGGGCGAAAGCCUGACGGAGCAAUGCCGCGUGAGUGAAGAAGGUUUUCGGAUCGUAAAACUCUGUUAUUAGGGAAGAACAAAUGUGUAAGUAACUAAGCGCGCCUUGACGGUACCUUACCAGAAAGCCACGGCUAACUACGUG